rnacentral:rRNA from 1 species
GGAGCUAAUACCGGAUGAUAUUUUGAACCGCAUGGUUCAAAAGUGAAAGACGGUCUUGCUGUCACUUAUAGAUGGAUCCGCGCUGCAUUAGCUAGUUGGUAAGGUAACGGCUUACCAAGGCAACGAUGCAUAGCCGACCUGAGAGGGUGAUCGGCCACACUGGAACUGAGACACGGUCCAG